UCCAAGUGCCACAUUAUCCUGGUUGAUUCUAUAUAAAAUAAUUGGAAGUUUAGGUUUUAUAGUCCUUUGCUUUCUUGCUGCUGUUCUUGAAUAAUGGUCAGUUCUCCCAUGAGUACUAAUAUGAUAAACUUGUGUAUCCUGAGCAGACAUGCGAGAAGACAAAUGACAAGUCGCUUCUGUAAUAUAGUUUUGCAAGCACCAGCCAACUCUUUGCGUUUUUGUAUCUCAACCAAGCCUACAAAACUCCAUUACUCUACUAUUUCUACAUCCAAGU
rnacentral:lncRNA from 1 species